UUCUGGAAAGUUGGAUCCUGUAAAGCUGUAGAACGAUGUGUAUUGAAGGUACCUGCCUUUGCAUUUUUGCUCCAUGCUCCUUGCUUUUUGAAUGUCCUUUGGUCCUGAGACUUAGGGGAUCAUUGUGCACUUCUUUCUUACCCUCAUUUCUUAAUAUCUUCAAGCAGUAGUAUUUUGGAUCAACCAGUCAGCCUUUGGAGGCACCAGAUUCUCUCUCUGUUCAUUCAGGCUCCAGUAUUUCACUCCUUCCCACCUGGCAUCUUCAUUAACUACCCAACUCCAGCUUCAAUUCUUACCACCAAUUAAGAAUCCCUUGAAAAUGUACACACAGUUCACCUGCAUUCCAUGUGGCAUCAGCUGAGGAGGUCUGAGUAGGGGCAAGAGGAUCCACUUCCAACAUGGUUUCACAUACAUGGCUGAAGAGUUGGUGCUGGCAACUUGCUGGGAAACAGCUGAAUUUGUUGCCUGAAGCCUCAUUUCUCCUCCACAUGAACUCUCGGCUCAGCUGAUUUGGGCUUCUCACAGCAUGAAGGUCUCAGGGUAGCAGAACUUCUUGCAUGACAUCCCUGAAGUGUCCUGGAACUUUAGACAUUUCAGCAACUAAACUAUUUUUCUGAGACUACCUCUGGGAGAGAUGCGUCAAGCCGCACAUGCAUCCUUUAAAAGACUGUGCACCCUGAAAUUUGGAAAUGUAGACACAUUCAUAUGAAGUCAUGGAAAGUUUCCAGUGAGGUCUAGAAUCCAAGUUCAUUUUCGGUGUGCAUGUGGCCAACCUUCCUCUUCCUGUUCUGGAAGU
rnacentral:lncRNA from 1 species